rnacentral:siRNA from 1 species
UCUCUCGUUUCUCUUGCCGUC